rnacentral:rRNA from 1 species
GACGAACGCUGGCGGCGUGCUUAACACAUGCAAGUCGAACGGAAAGGCCCUGCUUUUGUGGGGUGCUCGAGUGGCGAACGGGUGAGUAACACGUGAGUAACCUGCCCUUGACUUUGGGAUAACUUCAGGAAACUGGGGCUAAUACCGGAUAGGAGCUCCUGCUGCAUGGUGGGGGUUGGAAAGUUUCGGCGGUUGGGGAUGGACUCGCGGCUUAUCAGCUUGUUGGUGGGGUAGUGGCUUACCAAGGCUUUGACGGGUAGCCGGCCUGAGGGGGUGACCGGCCACAUUGGGACUGUGAUACGGCCCAGACUCCUAAGGGAGGCAGCAGUGGGGAAUAUUGCACAAUGGGCGGAAGCGUGAUGCAGCAACGCCGCGUGCGGGAUGACGGCCUUCGGGUUGUAAACCGCUUUCGCCUGUGACGAAGCGUGAGUGACGGUAAUGGGUAAAGAAGCACCGGCUAAAUCCGUG